CUCAUACUCAGUUUCGAUGUC
rnacentral:siRNA from 1 species